UGCUUUUGGCCAAUCUCCAUGAGAGAAAGUUCUCAACCUCUGAUUAUCAGACCCACAAUACGCCCCAGCCUCUGGAGGACACAGAGAGAAUGGAAGUCGUGGAGAAGAAAAGAGAAAAGUCUCAGAGGACCAGGAUAUACCCUCAGGACUAGCACUGUGCCUGCCGUAGAACGGGGCCUGCUCAGUGUUUUUUGGGUGAGUAAAUAUGAUAGAAUUUCAAGACUUCCAUACUUCAGAAAGGAGAUCUUAAGUCAAGAAGAGAGAUAUGCCAUGUUUUAUUUAUAUUGAAAUAUAGUCAAAUAUCUUCUGUUUGAUUUUAUAAAAUAUAAAAUGGCAUCUGAAUUUUUGUGGGGGCAGGGGAGUAAAUAAUACUUUAAAUUCCUAGGAAGCGGGAGCCAUAGGGUGAGUCACUGUAGAAAGCAAAAUCCCUUUAU
ensembl:lncRNA C5orf64-AS1 C5orf64 antisense RNA 1